CUCGCCCCUGUUCCUUAAAGAGACAGUGACAUAGGGUAGAAAACUCGGCUGCUCUUGACCUCUGCUCACCCUCCGCUUUGGAGUAGGAGGGACCGUAUCUCGGGCAGGGAGCUGCUAGGUGUGACUGUUGUGUGUGUUGGAGCCAUGAGAAAGAGAGACUGCGCAUGCACACGCAAAUAGGGACACACUAGGUCGGAAAGACAGAGUGAGAGAGGAGGACACAGACUCGGAUCCAGAAAAGGGCGCGCGCGCGCACACACGCCCCCCUUUCCCAAGCGUUACUGGGGUGGGUGAGCUCCACCCCCAUCCCAGCUCCGGAUCCGCUGUUCACACAGAAGCUGCCGUCACCCCCUGGCGCUCCAUUUCCCCUGGAUAAGUGACUGCGGCUCAUUGUAUUUCCCCCAGUGGUUACAGACUUGCGGGGAUCUCUGUGUCUGUGUCUCUGCGCGCUGCCGCUGUUCCCAGGUUGCACCCAGAAAUACAAUCCACAGCCCCCUGGUUCUGUCCAGUUACCAGUCAACCUCCCUAAGAACUUUCCUCUCCAAGACCAGGGAGAAUGAGACUUUGGCUCCAUUUAGGUUUCCUUGUAGCAGCUUUGGAAGGUGCCCGGUCGCAGGUGCAGCUGGUGGAGUCCGGAGGGGAUGUGAAAAAGCCCGGAGACUCUCUCCGCCUCUCCUGCAAAGCCUCCGGGUUCACCUUCAGCAGCUACCAGAUGCACUGGGUCCGGCAGGCUCCCGGGAAAGGCCUGGAGUGGGUCUCGCUCAUUUACACUGACGGAAGCAAAAGUUAUUACUCAGAUGCAGUCAAAGGGCGAUUCACCAUCUCCAGGGACAAUUCCAACAACCUGCUGUAUCUGCAAAUGACCGGCCUGAAACCCGAGGACACCGCCCGGUAUUACUGCGCUAGACGCACAGUGAAAUGAGACCUCUUGUUGCUAACACAAAAACCCAGACUGCGGAUUGUCCCUCCUGCCGUGCGCCGCGUAGGGGCAGCAGUUAAACGAAUCAUACAAGAGGCAGGAGACGCGUCUCAGCCUUCAAAACGAACAGCUUGUGUGUGUGUGUGUGUGUGUGUGGUGGAGAUGGGCUGCUGCUUUAGAUCCCUGGCAAUGCCACCCCUUGUUACACAUAACCGCCCUGGGGCCUGCAGUGCAGAGACCAUCGGAGUCCCCCAUAAGCCCUGCUUAACUGGGAUACCUCUUGUCAGAGCCACUCUCCCCUGGCAGAAGGGGAACGGUCGAUCUUCUCCUGAUCAUUUCUAUCUCCGAUACAAUGGGCAGUAGCUGUCACCUCGGAGAACAGAAACUGGUGAUGGGGCUGAUCUACAGCCCUUGGGAAGCAAUGAAAAACCUUGCCUCUGAUUUCACACAGCUAUGGUUGUUGUGAUCUUAAGACAUACAUUCACGGUGGGAGCAGAACCACAGCUGGAAUAAAUGAUCACUGACCCACUGGAUUCAAUGCAGCAGAUACCCCUAUUUAUGCCGGCUGACGAUCUGGGCCUUUUGUUCAAACAGUUAAAACCUCUAAUAAACACAUGGGUGCUAUUUAGCCAAUGGGUUCUGGGUGCCUAAGUCCCUUAGGUUCCUGUGAAAAAAAAGAGUUUUUUCUAAGAAGAGGCGCCAUUUCUACCUUUAGAAUGAGGUAGUAACCCCUUC